AGCAGCCGCGGUAAUUCCAGCUCCAAUAGCGUAUAUUAAAGUUGUUGCAGUUAAAAAGCUCGUAGUUGAAUUUCGGGGUUAGUAGGUUGGUCAUGCCUCUGGUAUGUACUGGUCUCACUGAUUCCUCCUUCCUGAUGAACCUUAAUGCCAUUAAUUUGGUGUUUUGGGGAAUUUGGACUGUUACUUUGAAAAAAUUAGAGUGUUUAAAGCAAGCUAACGCUUGAAUACAUUAGCAUGGAAUAAUGAAAUAGGACGUUCGAUCCUAUUUUGUUGGUUUCUAGGAUUGACGUAAUGAUUAAUAGGGAUAGUUGGGGGCAUUAGUAUUCAAUUGUCAGAGGUGAAAUUCUUGGAUUUAUUGAAGACUAACUACUGCGAAAGCAUUUGCCAAGGAUGUUUUCAUUAAUCAAGAACGAAAGUUAGGGGAUCGAAGACGAUCAGAUACCGUCGUAGUCUUAACCAUAAACUAUGCCGACUAUGGAUCGGAUGAUGUUAAUUUUUUAAUGACUCAUUCGGCGCCUUACG
rnacentral:rRNA from 1 species